GGGCCUGUAGCUUAGCCUGGUAUGAUGAAACAACCAAAAAUGGUUGUUUUAUACUAAAGCGCUGGUCUUAUAAGCCAGUGGUCGGGGGUUCAAAUCCCCCCAGGCCCA
rnacentral:tRNA from 1 species